rnacentral:rRNA from 1 species
GAUUAAGUUAUUAAGGGCGCACGGUGGAUGCCUUGGCACUAGAAGCCGAUGAAGGACGUUACUAACGACGAUAUGCUUUGGGGAGCUGUAAGUAAGCUUUGAUCCAGAGAUUUCCGAAUGGGGAAACCCAGCAUGAGUUAUGUCAUGUUAUCGAUAUGUGAAUACAUAGCAUAUCAGAAGGCACACCCGGAGAACUGAAACAUCUUAGUACCCGGAGGAAGAGAAAGAAAAUUCGAUUCCCUUAGUAGCGGCGAGCGAAACGGGAAGAGCCCAAACCAACAAGCUUGCUUGUUGGGGUUGUAGGACACUCUAUACGGAGUUACAAAGGACGACAUUAGACGAAUCAUCUGGAAAGAUGAAUCAAAGAAGGUAAUAAUCCUGUAGUCGAAAAUGUUGUCUCUCUUGAGUGGAUCCUGAGUACGACGGAGCACGUGAAAUUCCGUCGGAAUCUGGGAGGACCAUCUCCUAAGGCUAAAUACUCUCUAGUGACCGAUAGUGAACCAGUACCGUGAGGGAAAGGUGAAAAGCACCCCGGAAGGGGAGUGAAAUAGAACCUGAAACCGUGUGCUUACAAGUAGUCAGAGCCCGUUAAUGGGUGAUGGCGUGCCUUUUGUAGAAUGAACCGGCGAGUUACGAUUUGAUGCAAGGUUAAGCAGUAAAUGUGGAGCCGUAGCGAAAGCGAGUCUGAAUAGGGCGUUUAGUAUUUGGUCGUAGACCCGAAACCAGGUGAUCUACCCUUGGUCAGGUUGAAGUUCAGGUAACACUGAAUGGAGGACCGAACCGACUUACGUUGAAAAGUGAGCGGAUGAACUGAGGGUAGCGGAGAAAUUCCAAUCGAACCUGGAGAUAGCUGGUUCUCUCCGAAAUAGCUUUAGGGCUAGCCUCAAGUGAUGAUUAUUGGAGGUAGAGCACUGUUUGGACGAGGGGCCCCUCUCGGGUUACCGAAUUCAGACAAACUCCGAAUGCCAAUUAAUUUAACUUGGGAGUCAGAACAUGGGUGAUAAGGUCCGUGUUCGAAAGGGAAACAGCCCAGACCACCAGCUAAGGUCCCAAAAUAUAUGUUAAGUGGAAAAGGAUGUGGCGUUGCCCAGACAACUAGGAUGUUGGCUUAGAAGCAGCCAUCAUUUAAAGAGUGCGUAAUAGCUCACUAGUCGAGUGACACUGCGCCGAAAAUGUACCGGGGCUAAACAUAUUACCGAAGCUGUGGAUUGUCCUUUGGACAAUGGUAGGAGAGCGUUCUAAGGGCGUUGAAGCAUGAUCGUAAGGACAUGUGGAGCGCUUAGAAGUGAGAAUGCCGGUGUGAGUAGCGAAAGACGGGUGAGAAUCCCGUCCACCGAUUGACUAAGGUUUCCAGAGGAAGGCUCGUCCGCUCUGGGUUAGUCGGGUCCUAAGCUGAGGCCGACAGGCGUAGGCGAUGGAUAACAGGUUGAUAUUCCUGUACCACCUAUAAUCGUUUUAAUCGAUGGGGGGACGCAGUAGGAUAGGCGAAGCGUGCGAUUGGAUUGCACGUCUAAGCAGUAAGGCUGAGUAUUAGGCAAAUCCGGUACUCGUUAAGGCUGAGCUGUGAUGGGGAGAAGACAUUGUGUCUUCGAGUCGUUGAUUUCACACUGCCGAGAAAAGCCUCUAGAUAGAAAAUAGGUGCCCGUACCGCAAACCGACACAGGUAGUCAAGAUGAGAAUUCUAAGGUGAGCGAGCGAACUCUCGUUAAGGAACUCGGCAAAAUGACCCCGUAACUUCGGGAGAAGGGGUGCUCUUUAGGGUUAACGCCCAGAAGAGCCGCAGUGAAUAGGCCCAAGCGACUGUUUAUCAAAAACACAGGUCUCUGCUAAACCGUAAGGUGAUGUAUAGGGGCUGACGCCUGCCCGGUGCUGGAAGGUUAAGAGGAGUGGUUAGCUUCUGCGAAGCUACGAAUCGAAGCCCCAGUAAACGGCGGCCGUAACUAUAACGGUCCUAAGGUAGCGAAAUUCCUUGUCGGGUAAGUUCCGACCCGCACGAAAGGCGUAACGAUUUGGGCACUGUCUCAACGAGAGACUCGGUGAAAUCAUAGUACCUGUGAAGAUGCAGGUUACCCGCGACAGGACGGAAAGACCCCGUGGAGCUUUACUGUAGCCUGAUAUUGAAAUUCGGCACAGCUUGUACAGGAUAGGUAGGAGCCUUUGAAACGUGAGCGCUAGCUUACGUGGAGGCGCUGGUGGGAUACUACCCUAGCUGUGUUGGCUUUCUAACCCGCACCACUUAUCGUGGUGGGAGACAGUGUCAAGCGGGCAGUUUGACUGGGGCGGUCGCCUCCUAAAAGGUAACGGAGGCGCUCAAAGGUUCCCUCAGAAUGGUUGGAAAUCAUUCAUAGAGUGUAAAGGCAUAAGGGAGCUUGACUGCGAGACCUACAAGUCGAGCAGGGUCGAAAGACGGACUUAGUGAUCCGGUGGUUCCGCAUGGAAGGGCCAUCGCUCAACGGAUAAAAGCUACCCCGGGGAUAACAGGCUUAUCUCCCCCAAGAGUUCACAUCGACGGGGAGGUUUGGCACCUCGAUGUCGGCUCAUCGCAUCCUGGGGCUGUAGUCGGUCCCAAGGGUUGGGCUGUUCGCCCAUUAAAGCGGUACGCGAGCUGGGUUCAGAACGUCGUGAGACAGUUCGGUCCCUAUCCGUCGUGGGCGUAGGAAAUUUGAGAGGAGCUGUCCUUAGUACGAGAGGACCGGGAUGGACAUACCUCUGGUGUACCAGUUGUCGUGCCAACGGCAUAGCUGGGUAGCUAUGUGUGGACGGGAUAAGUGCUGAAAGCAUCUAAGCAUGAAGCCCCCCUCAAGAUGAGAUUUCCCAACUUCGGUUAUAAGAUCCCUCAAAGAUGAUGAGGUUAAUAGGUUCGAGGUGGAAGCAUGGUGACAUGUGGAGCUGACGAAUACUAAUCGAUCGAAGACUUAAUCAA